AUUAUUCCCGUCUCCAAAGAGUUCGUUUUUCUGUAGUAGAGCGUAUUCCUCUUCUCAUUUUUGAUUAGUUAAUUGAAGCAUGUUCGCGAAUAACGUUGUAAGCAGGGAUAAUGGGAUGCCCAACUUAUUCCAGUGUGAGAGCGCCUCAAAAUAAGCGUUUUUUAUAACAUUUUCCAUUAUGGCCAGAUCGAACAAAAUAAGAAUUUUUGGGCAUUUUAAAUUAAAAUACCCAACAUUUAUUACGAUUACAAAUUAUUAUAUAUUGGACUUUUAAUAUAUGGCGAAACUACUUAAUUCCUUUUUUAUGACUUUAUGAUAUAUUAAAACAACUGACUUUCGAUCUUUCAAUACUUAAUAAGGUGAAUUAAGCCUGUUAGUUCUCAAUUAAUAAAUGUUUUUAAUCAAUUGUAAUAGAAAAUUAAUUCUAUUAUGCAUCAAAUUAAAAAAUGUUUCAUGAAAUAUAUUUAAAUUUCGCAUUUCUUUUGAUUUUCAUUGUUUUAAAUUUUUAUUAGCGAUCUUGAACGGCGGCAACAAAUUCCUCCGUUCACAUAUAUUUGUGGUAUAAUUUCAAUCUGGCCGUUCCAGUCAUUCCAAUUGCAAAACGUCAACACCUACCCAAUCCAGUCAACUGUCAAAGUUCGGUAGGUGAGCGGCUCUCACAUUUCCAGUGACAGGAGAGUUGGGGAUCUCUUUAUCUCUGGUUGUAAGCGACAAUUUUUUCAAAACCGAUUUUUUUGCAGAUUACUGUUAUAAUGGCUCUCUUUUAUCAAUCCAAAUCAAAAAGGCAUAUUAUUGCACCUGUUCGUAUUCAAAUCGCAUUUUAAUAAAAGCACUCAGUGGAAUAACGUUUCACGUGACUUAUUUAUUUUGUGUGUACAAUGGCAAAAACUGAGUGUUCUCGUGUGCUUGAUAAGUGUGUUAAAGGCUCCAAAAGGAAAAUAAAUUUUGAAAAUUGGAAAGAUUUCAAUAAUAAAAAGCUAAGAAAUAGUGGGCAAUCUUAUAUUAAUAGAAAAAAAAACAAGUUAUACCGGCAAAAAAUGUCCCAAAGCAGAUUUUUGAUUGCCAUUGUAAUUUCCAUUGUGCAAAACUUGAUAAUGAACAAAUGAAGAACCUUUUUGAUAACUUUUAUAGCAAAAAUUAAGAGGAGCAAUGUUUAUUUCUAUCCUCACUUCUUGAAUUGAGCGAGCCUAAAAGAAGAAGAGUUGAAGAGGGGAGUUCUAUACGAAAUACAACAGUAAUGUUUUGUCACACAUUUCAGACAACGCAGCGCAGAGUUCAAAUUUUGGUUGAUAAAGUAAAAUAUGAGAAAAACAUUGAUGAUCAGCGAGGAAAACAUGAAAAUCAUCCCCACAAAAUCAUAGAACAGGAAAAACUGAACGUUGAUGAACAUAUAUGUACAUAGUAAGCUUUCCCAGCCAAGAAAGUCACUAUGGUCGUUCAACAUCUCGAAAAAUUGUCUUAACCCAAUUUAAAUAUUAAAACAAUGUACGAGUUAUACAAAGUUAAAUAUCCGGAUACCCAAAUUUCGUACAACACAUAUAAGCACAUUUUUCAUACAGAACACAAACUACGAUUUGGUUUCCCAAGAAGUGAUACUUGCAAGGUUUGUGACAAGUAUUUUAUUGAUAUGAUUGCCGCUGAAAAUACGGAACGAUUUGAAAAUAUUCAAAAAUUGGCGACAGCUCAUCACGAGCAAGCAGAUAAAGCAUAUGCGCAACUUCGAGAUGAUUCCAACGCUGGCAAAAAUUCACAAAAUACCG